GUGAGCCUCCUUCCCUGGCAGCUCCCACUAAACUGGCAGAAAAUAGCAAUGAGUUGAAGAAAGAAGCCAUUAAACGAAUGUCACAAGGAGCUGAAGAUCUGACACAUAUUAACAACAUUAAGAGCUGGCAAUAUGGUGGCAACCACAAAAUCAAUGAUUUUCAAACACAUGACCAGGGGACUCUCUAGUGGUUAUUUAAAGAGACAGGACAAUAAAAUUCACCAUCUACUUCUUCCCACCCCUUCAGAAGGCUAAACACGUCCAUGGUUUCUGUUUAAUUACUCCAGCAACUGUUUACAACCUCCUCUAUUCUCUGAGCAAACAUUAGCAUUAUAGGGAGUAAUUUACUGAUACCAACCUUGGCUAAAAAGCACAGAAGCUUUGAAUCUUUCUUUUUAAAGAUCUCCCUCUCUCAUAGCCAACAUAUCACUUCGACUCUGCCCUUGUGAUAGACUCUUCUUCGGAGUGACAACAAGGGACAUGGUCGAGAGCCAAAAAGAAGCAUGAGACUGUCCCAAAUCCCUGAACACUCUUGGAGAGCUGGCAUCUGCCUCCUCUGAAUUCCCUCUGAUCUUUCUAGAAGAAUUGUUAUAUAUAAUUCACAAUAUAAAUGAAAAGAAGAAAAGAAGGGUCAAGGCCACAGAACUGCAGGAAAAACAACAACCCUGCAGCUACUGGUGGACCCAAAGAGCUAAUAGUCUACUAAGGGUAUAAAACAUGUACACAGUAUAUGGUACAAGAAAAUUUAAGCAGGGAACAACUAUUAACAAUUAGGGAGAUUAGGGAAGACUGCCUAUGGCAUAUGGUGAGAUAAACUGUGAAGGAAGCUAAAGAUUCCAAGAGUAAAAGAUUUCAUGCCACUUGGGCCAGAAGUAAAAUGCUACUUGGGUCCAUUUCCUGACUCACCAUGUGAACUAAGACAGUUUUGCUUUCUCUGCCAUCAUAUUGGUUCUUUAUACCACCAUGGACUCUGUCUGAUCUACUGAGGCAAGAGUUCAACCAACAUUGAUGAGAACAGUGACGCUGAGAGACACAUAGCCCAAAGACACACCGUUGGUAUCUGAAGCAAGAUUCAAACUCAGAUCUUCUCAACUCCAUGUUAUACACUUUAUCUGUCAUAUUACUUACCUUAGAGGUAACUGAGAAUUAAAUAGGACUUAGAACUAGAGCCACCGAGAGUUUAUUCAGAAGAGGAGUGGCAUGAUUAUAAUUAAGUUUUGGAAAAUCACCUUGGCAGCUCUAUGGAAGAUGGGCUUGCAAAGGAAAGAGAUUUAAGCCAGGGAGACCAAUGAAGAGGCUUCUGCAAAAGCUUGUGUAACC
rnacentral:lncRNA from 1 species